ensembl:lncRNA
AUGGGCUGGGGCGGGGCGGCCGGCGGGCUUGCCAGGCAGGCACUGCCCAAUAUGGGCCUGUGCGGGCCCAGCGAUAUAAAUAGACGGCGCUGGGAGCCCCGGGGACCGACGGCCGGCACCCUGGGGGAGGGAGGGAGGGGGAGGGAGGGCGCUGGCAGCUCCUCUAAAGUGACAGGUGCCGGCCCAGGCGCUCGGGGUGGGCCGCUCUGCGCCUGCGCGGGCCGUCCGCGAGGCUCCGCGACGGCAAUCCGCUGGCCCCGCCUCCGGCCGCUCUGCGCCUGCGCGGGUCUUCCCGCGCCGGCCCGCGUGCCAGGGCGGCUGAAGGUCUGCCAGGACUGGGCGAGUUCUUAUAGUUGGAGGGUUGGGACACAUUUUGCCACACCUCCUCAUCCUGAGGUCUGUGGGCUGUGAGGAACUUAGCCACCACCCCCGAGAGGGCCUAGAGGGCUGGAGGUAAGUGUGUGUGUGUGGGGUGGGGGGGACGGGGUAUUCACCCCUGCAGCUUCAGGCUCAGCACCUGUAGGUGUGGGAGGGUGGGGUCCCGGGCAGUUGCCAUCAUCUUAUUGUCUUUACUGGCUGUUUGGGUCUGAAGGACUCAGCGCAUUGUUGCCUCUGGCUGUCACAUGGUGCCAUCCUAUAGAACUUCACACUGUAGCAGGUGUAUACACCUGUCAUAUUUUCCCAUCAAGCCCACAAGCUCCCAGAGGCCAAGGGCUCUGUCCUGUUCACCUUUGUAGCACAUUCACAUGCCUGCCUCAGGCCCUCCAGAGAAUAGAUGGUCAGGGGAUGUUUACUGAUUGGGGUGACUGAGAGGUGAAGCUGGUAAGUGAGAGGAAAGUGGGGCUGGGGAUGGGACACCCGGUAUCCUAACCUGGCACUGCUUCUGAAGGCCUCAUGGCCUCAUGUAACGCAGACUCUUGGAGGAUAAUAAUAGGCAAAGUGAUAAUUCAUCUGCCUCUCACAGAUUAUGUGGAGGAUAAAUGAGGAGAACUAACAGAUGUGAACAAGGGCUUUCAUAAACGAUGAAGUGACUCCACGUCAUUUUCCCUAAUGAGGCAUGUGUUCUUAAAUGGAAAUUCCCUUCUCCAAAGAUCUUGAAAAUGAGACAGAAAUCCAUUUCUUCCCAAUAAUAUUUAUUGCAUCCUGUCUUGAGGCAGAGAUCGGACCGUAUUUCUUUUGGAGGCUCUUCUGCUUUAAGAAUCCAUCACAGGGAAGCAUGGGGAAUGGAGUUAGCUACCUCCUAAGCCCUGCUUCCCCACUUCUGUGAUGAUAAACCAUGAUCAGACAGUCCAGCCUUCAGCCUGCAGGUGUUCGAGGCUGCGCGCUAAAUCUAAUAGAUUUGAGGGGUUUUGACAGGUCAUGAACUUUCUGAAAGCCACAUUUCCCUCUCUGUAUCCCAAUAUUAUUUCAUUUUCCCCAGCAAUGAAAUCCUCAAAUCCUGAGUAUAUGAAUAAUCAAAUCUUGCUGUUUUAGGCAGACUCCUAAGUGGUUUCUUUUUUUUUUUUUAUUUAAAAAAAAAUUUUUUUUUUCAACGUUUAUUUAUUUUUGGGACAGAGAGAGACAGAGCAUGAACGGGGGAGGGGCAGAGAGAGAGGGAGACACAGAAUCGGAAACAGGCUCCAGGCUCUGAGCCAUCAGCCCAGAGCCUGACGCGGGGCUCGAACUCACGGACCGCGAGAUCGUGACCUGACUGAAGUCGGAUGUUUAACCGACUGCGCCACCCAGGCGCCCCACCUAAGUGGUUUCUUAACACAAGCAUGACCAAUUGUGAUUGUUGGUUCCAUUAUUAUGCAGUGACCACUAUUUAUACCAUGUGUAAGUUAAGGUCUAUAGAGAUUUAGCCACUCUAACAAAGAAUUUGAAUGAUAGUUCCCUAAAGAAGAAGGAAGUUAAUUUUUCUUUCGUGCCUAAUUACAGGUAGUAAAGAAGCAAAUAGGGCAGUGUGUUAGGCUGCAAUAAACAGGGCUCAACAUUUCGUGGCUUAACA